rnacentral:rRNA from 1 species
GCCAAUAAAAGCUUCUAGCCAGAGAUGACAUACCCGUACCGCAAACCGACACAGGUAGUCGAGUGGAUAUCACUAAGGUGAGCGAGAGAACUCUCGUUAAGGGACUCGGCAAAAUGACCCCGGAACUUCGGAAGAAGGGGUGCUAGCCAAUAGAUUGGUUAGCCGCAGUGAAUAGGCCCACACAACUGUUUAUCAAAAACACAGGUCUCUGCAAAAUCGUAAGAUGACGUAUAGAGGCUGACACCUGCCCGGUGCUGGAAGGUGAAGAGGAGAGCUUAGCGUAAGCGAAGGUUUGAAGUGAAGCCCCAGUAGACGGCGGCCGUAACUAUAGCGGUCCUAAGGUAGCGAAAUUCCUUGUCGGGUAAGUUCCGACCUGCACGAAAGGUGUAAUGA